UCCUUCCGCGUCCUGUGUUCCCUUCCCGCCCUGGCCGCCUUUGCGCGGCCUCGGAGGGCGCCCGGGCGGCGCACCUUCUCCCCGCGGCCUCGUACUCUCUGACUUUAGUUAACCCCGUUUCCCUCAUCCCCGUCACGUGCACAACCCCAGGACAAAACUGCUUUGCGUUUGUUAUGUGACAAUUUUCCCAAAAAAAUCUCUUGAAACGAGACAGGAAUUGCAGGCUGCUGUGAUGGUAGGAAAUAGGCCGCUUUGGGGUGCGCUGCUGAAAUUCUUAGGCCAGUAGAGCUAGUACUCAAUCUGGGAGGUGUACUUUGAGGUAGUAAUAUUCCAUAAAGGAGGAAGGCAUUCUUUUAAAGUAGUUCCUAAUUAUGUCGUAAGGAAGGCGAACUGGAAAAGUACCAGAACAGAGUCCUUCCUUCAUGUCACAGCUGCAGUUAUUCCCUGCCAGAUGUUUAAGGUGAUGCACACCAGUGUUAGCUGGAGCCUAUCCACAGUAAUGCCUGAGGUUUCUGAGUUUCAGCCCAAGAAGACGUCAGCUGGGGUGCAGCUCCGUGGUAAAGCACUUACCUAACCUGUGUGAGGCCCUGAGUCCCAGCCCCAGCACCAUGAAAGCCCAGGUAACAAUGGCAGAGCAGAAGGUCUGCCUCAGUGGGGUCGGGUGUUAGCUUCCUCCGUUGUUUGCUAGUUUGUCUCUUCUGCUGUUUAAUUUGUUUCCUGUAUUUGUAAUUGGGACAAAGCAGGCGGUUCAGCUCGUCUAAGAACAC